CGAACUCUGGUAUUGAUUGGUGCUUGCAUCAUGAUUUACAUUUGAGUGAGUGGCGAACUGGUGAGUAACACGUGGGAAACCUGCCCAGAAGCGGGGGAUAACACCUGGAAACAGAUGCUAAUACCGCAUAACAACUUGGACCGCAUGGUCCGAGUUUGAAAGAUGGCUUCGGCUAUCACUUUUGGAUGGUCCCGCGGCGUAUUAGCUAGAUGGUGGGGUAACGGCUCACCAUGGCAAUGAUACGUAGCCGACCUGAGAGGGUAAUCGGCCACAUUGGGACUGAGACACGGCCCAAACUCCUACGGGAGGCAGCAGUAGGGAAUCUUCCACAAUGGACGAAAGUCUGAUGGAGCAACGCCGCGUGAGUGAAGAAGGGUUUCGGCUCGUAAAACUCUGUUGUUAAAGAAGAACAUAUCUGAGAGUAACUGUUCAGGUAUUGACGGUAUUUAACCAGAAAGCCACGGCUAACUACGUGCCAGCAGCCGCGGUAAUACGUAGGUGGCAAGCGUUGUCCGGAUUUAUUGGGCGUAAAGCGAGCGCAGGCGGUUUUUUAAGUCUGAUGUGAAAGCCUUCGGCUCAACCGAAGAAGUGCAUCGGAAACUGGGAAACUUGAGUGCAGAAGAGGACAGUGGAACUCCAUGUGUAGCGGUGAAAUGCGUAGAUAUAUGGAAGAACACCAGUGGCGAAGGCGGCUGUCUGGUCUGUAACUGACGCUGAGGCUCGAAAGUAUGGGUAGCAAACAGGAUUAGAUACCCUGGUAGUCCAUACCGUAAACGAUGAAUGCUAAGUGUUGGAGGGUUUCCGCCCUUCAGUGCUGCAGCUAACGCAUUAAGCAUUCCGCCUGGGGAGUACGGCCGCAAGGCUGAAACUCAAAGGAAUUGACGGGGGCCCGCACAAGCGGUGGAGCAUGUGGUUUAAUUCGAAGCUACGCGAAGAACCUUACCAGGUCUUGACAUACUAUGCAAAUCUAAGAGAUUAGACGUUCCCUUCGGGGACAUGGAUACAGGUGGUGCAUGGUUGUCGUCAGCUCGUGUCGUGAGAUGUUGGGUUAAGUCCCGCAACGAGCGCAACCCUUAUUAUCAGUUGCCAGCAUUAAGUUGGGCACUCUGGUGAGACUGCCGGUGACAAACCGGAGGAAGGUGGGGAUGACGUCAAAUCAUCAUGCCCCUUAUGACCUGGGCUACACACGUGCUACAAUGGAUGGUACAACGAGUUGCGAACUCGCGAGAGUAAGCUAAUCUCUUAAAGCCAUUCUCAGUUCGGAUUGUAGGCUGCAACUCGCCUACAUGAAGUCGGAAUCGCUAGUAAUCGCGGAUCAGCAUGCCGCGGUGAAUACGUUCCCGGGCCUUGUACACACCGCCCGUCACACCAUGAGAGUUUGUAACACCCAAAGUCGGUGGGGUAACCUUUUAGGAACCAGCCGCCUAAGGUGGGACAGAUGAUUAGGG
rnacentral:rRNA from 4 species